rnacentral:rRNA from 1 species
AGUUUGAUCCUGGCUCAGAUUGAACGCUGGCGGCAGGCCUAACACAUGCAAGUCGAGCGGUAGAGAGAAGCUUGCUUCUCUUGAGAGCGGCGGACGGGUGAGUAAUGCCUAGGAAUCUGCCUGGUAGUGGGGGAUAACGUUCGGAAACGGGCGCUAAUACCGCAUACGUCCUACGGGAGAAAGCAGGGGACCUUCGGGCCUUGCGCUAUCAGAUGAGCCUAGGUCGGAUUAGCUAGUUGGUGAGGUAAUGGCUCACCAAGGCGACGAUCCGUAACUGGUCUGAGAGGAUGAUCAGUCACACUGGAACUGAGACACGGUCCAGACUCCUACGGGAGGCAGCAGUGGGGAAUAUUGGACAAUGGGCGAAAGCCUGAUCCAGCCAUGCCGCGUGUGUGAAGAAGGUCUUCGGAUUGUAAAGCACUUUAAGUUGGGAGGAAGGGCAGUUACCUAAUACGUGAUUGUUUUGACGUUACCGACAGAAUAAGCACCGGCUAACUCUGUG